GCCCAUUUCCUAACUCCUUUAGAGUGUUUCUUGUAGCAGAUCUUAGCCAACAGUAGCUGUUCUACUAGAACAGUGUUUCUCAAACUGUGCUCCAUGGAGCCCUUAGGACUCCGUGAAACACAGUUAGGGGCUCUGCAGGGGGAUGAUGCUCUCUGCUGUCGAUACCACCUACGAGGCCUCCCCGCUACCGCUUUGACUGUGAUUUUCCUGCAAGGCAGAAGGAGGUUGGACUGGAUGGACCCUGGAUUGCUCCUGUUGUUGCUGUUGUCAUUGUUGUUGUUGUUGUUGUUGUUGUUGUAAAGGCUGGGUGGCCAUCUGUUUGGAAUGCUUUGACUAUGAUUUUCCUGCAAGGCAGAAAGAGGUUGGACUGGAUGGCCCUUGGGUUGCUCCUGUUGUUGUUGUUGUUUAGAAGUUCCAAUAUAUUUCAGUUUUGCUGUUGUCACAGAACAUUUAUAAUAUUAGGCAUUAUAUUUUAUUUGUAGUUUCUUACAAUGACAAACAUUAUUUCUUGAAAUAAGGAGUUCUUUUCUAAGUAGAUUAGUGCAACGGCAGACUAGUAUGAAAGCAGGAAAGAAGAGGCUGCUGUUAAUUUUGAAAUCAGGAACUUUUGGACUGUUUCAUGUCAGAAAUGACAAUUGUAUAUAGAAAAUAACUAUCCUGUAAACAUGGGGAAAUAUUCAUAUCAAAAUCAAUGGAAAGUGUAAGACUUGGCUGAGUCAUUGUGAAAUGCCCAUUUUAUUUGUUUUCCUUUUUGUUUAAUAGGGGAAAGGCUCUACAAACUGUAAGUGAAUGAAUUAGAUCAUAAAAUCAAACAAUAAUUAUAUUAAUUUUUCUUUAAAAGAUCAAAAAACCAAUGGAAGAAAUAUGAUUAAAUUGUUUAAAAACUGAAUGAUUUAUAAGUGAUCAAGAAAGUUACUUUAUUAUUUCAUAUCAGUAUCAAAAUGAAGAAUAGAAAGUAUUACAGAUAUAUAUAUAUAUAUAUAUAUAUAUAUAUAUAUAGAUAUAUAGAGAGAGAGAGAGAGAGAGAGAGAGAGAGAGAGAGAGAGAGAGAGAGAGAGAGACUUAUUAUCAUUUUUAAAUUUAGAAUAUUUAAUUCUUGGAGAUGAUCCCACUGAAAUGUGCAGUAGCAUUGUUUGCACAAAAGGAAACUUGACCUAGAAUGUUCAAUGUCUCAUUCCUGGCAAGAUGACAAAUCUUCAUGGCUCUGCCUCCUUGCCACAUGUAGGUCUUCACACCAGUCUCUUGCUCCCAUUGCCACUGUUCCUCUUCUCAUGCUACAGUUGCUGUGGUGGUAAAUGAAUCAUUGUGGUGUCUCAAUUGCACUGCAUAAGAAUCAAGGAUGCCUUGACAAGACAUCUGGAAACAGUUAAUAAUGCAAUGUAGUGAUUGUUAUGAAUCACUAGUGAAAGAUUUGUACUGAACAGU
rnacentral:lncRNA from 1 species